CAUAAUGCGGAUUUGUCUGGAACAAAUUUACUGCAAUUGACUUUUCAGAGUGUAAACCGAAAAGACCUUGAAACAGAAACCUCUGAACCGUUAGAUACUGAUCAUGAAGCACUCUGUCUUCUGCGUUGUCAUGCUAGCCGUUCUUCUUUCGACAAACAUCUUCCACAUGGUGGAAUGUUCUUAUCUAAGGUUCGGUCGAUCAGUGACGAAGAGAAAACUUCAAGAUCGAAACAGGAUCCAGGCUGAAACCGAGAAUGCAAAAACGCUGAACAACCAACGGAAAAUCAGAACCGAAGUUCUGGACAACGACGACUACUGGGAAAAAUACAACAACUGAAGAUGAGGAGUGCAAAUUUCCCUCCAGAACAAGAGCUAACUUUUUUCUUUUCGUUAAAGUAGUGGUGUCCAAAAUAUACGAAUAAAGAUAACUC